AUACAGAGGUGGCAAGCGUUGUUCGGAUGUAUUGGGCGUAAAGGGUUCGUAGGCGGUCUAGAAAGUCGGAUGUGAAAUCCUGCAGCUUAACUGCAGAACUGCAUUCGAAACUCCUAGACUCGAGUGUGAGAGGGGUGAAGAGAAUUCCCGGUGUAACGGUGAAAUGUGUAGAGAUCGGGAGGAAUACCAGUCGCGAAGGCGCUUCACUGGCUCACUACUGACGCUGAGGAACGAAAGCUAGGGUAGCCAACGGGAUUAGAUACCCCAGUAGUCC
rnacentral:rRNA from 1 species